AACGAACGCUGGCGGCAUGCCUAACACAUGCAAGUCGAACGAGACCUUCGGGUCUAGUGGCGCACGGGUGCGUAACGCGUGGGAAUCUGCCCUUGGGUUCGGAAUAACAGUUGGAAACGACUGCUAAUACCGGAUGAUGACGUAAGUCCAAAGAUUUAUCGCCCAAGGAUGAGCCCGCGUAGGAUUAGCUAGUUGGUGAGGUAAAGGCUAACCAAGGCGACGAUCCUUAGCUGGUCUGAGAGGAUGAUCAGCCACACUGGGACUGAGACACGGCCCAGACUCCUACGCGAGGGAGCAGUGGGGAAUAUUGGACAAUGGGCGAAAGUCUGAUCCAGCAAUGCCGCGUGAGUGAUGAAGGCCGUAGGGUUGUAAAGCUCUUUUACCCGGGAUGAUAAUGACAGUAACGGGAGAAGAAGCUCCGGCUAACUCCGUG
rnacentral:rRNA from 1 species